rnacentral:rRNA from 1 species
AUUGAACGCUGGCGGCAGGCCUAACACAUGCAAGUCGAGCGGAUGAAGGGAGCUUGCUCCUGGAUUCAGCGGCGGACGGGUGAGUAAUGUCUAGGAAUCUGCCUGGUAGUGGGGAAUAACGUCCGGAAACGGGCGCUAAUACCGCAUACGUCCUGAGGGAGAAAGUGGGGGAUCUUCGGACCUCACGCUAUCAGAUGAGCCUAGGUCGGAUUAGCUAGUUGGUGGGGUAAAGGCCUACCAAGGCGACGAUCCGUAACUGGUCUGAGAGGAUGAUCAGUCACACUGGAACUGAGACACGGUCCAGACUCCUACGGGAGGCAGCAGUGGGGAAUAUUGGACAAUGGGCGAAAGCCUGAUCCAGCCAUGCCGCGUGUGUGAAGAAGGUCUUCGGAUUGUAAAGCACUUUAAGUUGGGAGGAAGGGCAGUAAGUUAAUACCUUGCUGUUUUGACGUUACCAACAGAAUAAGCACCGGCUAACUUCGUG